rnacentral:lncRNA from 1 species
CAAAGUAAGGUGAGCAAGUUUUCUAAGGAGAGAUAGGCUUAAUGCUGUACAAAUCUGAGAGUAAACUGCACCUAAACAUCCUCCGUCAGUUGGGUAUGGUCUGAACUCUGGUUCAGUUAGCUGCAAACUGAGUUUUUGUGAAUUUGUGCUCAAUUUUGGAGGUCUAUAGUACCAAAUCCGUGGGGUUUUGGACUAGGAAUUCUGAAGCAAAGAUGUAGAAGGAUGUUGAGAGAGCAAUUUAUGUUACGAUCGGUUCACUGUUAUCAUUUGGAAUCGUGAGAUUUAAGGGGAUUAAGAUGGGGGUUCUAUCGAAGAAGUGUGGGAUUCAGGUGCUGAUAGCUGAAACUUGGAUCAGUUUGGGGCAUACAAUUUGGUGCAGACGUCCACUCUCUGAAACGUCUCUCUGAAAUUCUUUAUUCUCUUCCUUAUCUCCACAUCAUUUCUCUCGUCUAGAUAAUUCAAGCGCUCCUUCCUAUCCAUUCCAGCUGCAUCUCUCAACGUUCUCUCUUUUAUCUGGUGCACACGUGACACGUACACUCUCUAGAAAUCUCCCACGUCUCUCUCUCUCGGCGUGCUCCAAUUGAACUCUCACGCAUAGCGCAUAGCACUCGCCUUCGCCUUGUACCUUGUGCUCAACUCCCAGAUACUGAGCCCGGACGCGAGCUCCCUUCUCACGCUGGCUUGGGCGCUGCUGCUGCUCUUCCGUGCCUUGAGCUGCUUCCUCACGCGCUCGACCGACCAUCUGUCGCUGCUCCAUCGCACAUGUUCUAGCUCGCCGGCCUGGUACCGUCUUCCAACUCCACGCUUUGCCGUCCGCCGACCUCGCUGGUGAGGUGAGGGCCGACGUCGUCCUGCAGCUUCCACGCUGUGCCGACGCUCGUCGUGCAGCCUUGUUUGUUGUGCUUGCCGCAGUUCCCCAUCCAUGUUGUGAGCUGCAACGUACUCAUGGUUGUUAUCUCCUCGUCGGCCAUGCUCAACCUCGCAGCUCCUUCGCGUCGUCGAUUUCCUUGACCCACAGCCUCUCUUCCGACAUCGUCGUGCUCGUGGUGUCAUUGUAAAGCUGCUAGCUGCCAGUCUCGCUGGUACGUCGUCGAUUUUUAUAUGUUUGGAAUUGUCGGCCGUGUACUUAGUAUUUAUUAGUGUUGUCUUCUCAAGCAGUUCCUGAUACCCAGCAAGCCGUUGUGCUCGGCAUACUUUCUCUAUGUGGUUCUCUCGCUUCAUCGGCUUUCCGCGUGUUAGAGCAGGUAUGGUUCGGAUAUAUACGUAAAUGCGGGAGAAAGUUCGAGAAAAAUGGGCAUCUAAUGUGUUCGUGUAAAAUAAAGUUGCUUAGCAUGUUUUGGAUGGUUAGAUGAGUUCUAAGGAUAAGUAGCUCCCUGGUAGUUAUGGCUUGUGGUGAUAGCUUAUAAUUGUAAUUUCGUAAUGCUUCGUAAUGCCUUCCUUGUUAGUAGCUUAGACACAGGCAUUCAUAAUCAUGGCAUUUCAUGUAGAGUACCAAGAAGAAGUGAUUUGUCAAGAAAGGAGCAUGUUCUAGUUCUGCUGAUCCAG